GGUACCCGGGGAUCCUCUAGAGUCGACCUGCAGGCAUGCAAGCUUAAACCCAGCUUAAUGAGCUGGGUUUUUUGUUUACUCAAGAUCGAGAAAAUCAAACAAAUACAAACACCGAGGGCUUAUAUAGCCCAUAUACUGAUUUAAAGUUUCAAAAAGGUCUAAAUAGU
rnacentral:rRNA from 1 species